GAACAAGCAAACAUUCAAACACUCACUCCUGGUUUUCCUUCAGAUUGAAUUUUUUUUUUUUUUCCAAGGACAAAAAACUUGUCCUUGGAACCAUUUCCAAGGACAAGAUAGACCUUAGUUUGAAAGAAAAAAAUAUUUUAAAGUUUAUGCUAUAGCAUCUAGAAGAGCGGUCCCCCACCUUUUUAUCACCUUGGACCGGUUAAGGCUUGACAACGGCCCGGGGGUGGUGGGGUGAUGAACUGUCAGACAAGGUUUUUGCAUGUUGGUGUGCCCGCUAAAGCAGGGCUGAGCAAUCCUGGCCCUCAAGGGCCGGUGUCCUGCAACUCUUAAGAUCCAACACACUUCAAUCAAAUAAAUGACUCACCUUCUAAGUGCAGUCAGGUUCUCCAGAGUCCUGCUAAUGACCUCAUUAUUUGACUCAGGUGUGUUGAAGUAGAGACACACCUAAAAGUUGCAGGAGACCGGCCCUCGAGGCCUGGAGUUGCCCACCCUUGCGCUAAAGCCUAGUUCACAUGGCACAAUUUUAAAUUUUUUGCCCCGAUUUUCCCCUUUCGACAAUAUUAGAACCUUCCGAUUUCUAAGAUUGUCAACUCGCUUGCGAUACCGAUCAUCCUGCCUGUGUGGUGUGCUACAACUGAUUGGAUUCAAUCAGUAGAACGUCGAACCACUCAAAUCAAAAAUUUAACAGGGGUGCAGUGUGUUGGUGAAGAAUAAGUUUUCCAUCUCGUUGGCCUCCCUAACACAGGUUAUAACAGCCAGACCUCCUGUUUGAAAAGAAGCGUGUUACCUAAUAUAUAUGAGGUAUGUGUCUUAACUUUACAUUUUCUUUGCGAAAAAAACAUUGACUAUGUUUUUCUUUGUUUGUAAUGUUUACUAAGAGCAAUUCAAGCUAAUGCUACCUUGCUGUAAGUUAAUGUUAGUUAAAGUUAUUAAACUUCAUUACUGUAAGGUUAACCUUUAACUUUCAAUGUAUUUUAAACGCAGGCAAAUAGAUUUUUUCCCUCCAAUUUUAAUCGAGCAAAUUAAAAGCUACUAUGUUAGUCAAAGUUAUAUUUAUUUAGCAACUUGGCUGAUGUGACAUAGUGCUUGUGUUCUUUGCUUUGCUGACUUUAGCCACAUGAAGACCCAUUUUAGCCUAAGGACAUGGUGGGGGUGGAAGAAAGAAUGCUAAUGAAGACAUGCUACAGGUGUGGACGGUGCUAAUGAGGACCAGCCAUGAGAGAAAGAAAUCCCUGUUUGACCAAAGAGGAAGAAGCAGAUGAAAUAUUUCCCAAGAAAAUUAGUGACCUCAGUGGAUUGAGUCAUCACCCACUAUGAGAAUGUCCAGGAGAGAUUCACCAAGUUUGAAUUCAUGAAAAAGCUUUCACCAUGAUUAACACUGAUCACAACCAUUUCAAGAACAGCUACAAUUUCUGAGCAUUUCCAGACACUUUCAAAGAGCUGCUCCUAGGAAAUGAAGA